rnacentral:lncRNA from 1 species
UUACAACAUUAAAUCAGUGGUUUGGCAAUCUUCCUUGCAAGGGGUAUGUCCCUGGUCACAACAUGUUCACAAACAAAAGUUCUGACCAACUGGGGUGCGACACUUAGGAGGCUCUUCAAAGCAUUUGAGGUUAUCCAACUUGUGCAUGUUUGGUCUUUUGCGAUUUUAUUCACACAGUUUUGGUGGAACGUCAAGAUGCAAAAAGUGCAGUUAGAGACGACAAGCUCAACGAUCUUCAACUUAACUUGUAUGAACAUGGAGUUUGUGUUUUUUAUCUGAUACUUUGAUUAUUUGACUGAUAAAGUCGGAUCGUUUAUUAAAGAUGAAAUUGUCAUGAACUCCAAGGUAGUUCAGAUUCUCAUUGUUUGCUCAGGUGUAGAAUGUGUCAUUUAUAUAGGAUAUGAUGUUUAGAUGUCAUUAGAUUCAUUAUCCCACCAAUAGCUUCACCACACGGUUGUGAAAAAAAAUGUGAAAAUGAAAUACACAUAACCGCCCUUUUCAAAGGAUCGUAGUUGGUGUGCACCUUUGUCAUUGCCAACCGGCGCAUAAUAUGUACUUGCUUACACACACACACGUGUGCCUGAAGCUAAUCUUGUGGAUGCUAGACGAGAGAGUUCCUCCAUAGUUUUUUGGGCUAAUUUUAAAUACUUUGAUUCCGCCCACCACUCCUAAUGUUGCCUAGACCUCACCAUUGUGUCUCCAUUGUAGUGUUAGCAUGUCAUAUCGAUGUCACUACAUGUCGUACACUCCUCGGCCGAGAUAUGGAUCUUACAAGCAAAAGAUCCACACAACAAGAAGUGAGCUAGGAAUCACAACCACCACUGCAUGAUUUGCACGAAAUCCAUAAUUACAUCUAUGUGUUGUUUGUAUCGCUAGAUUGAAAUUUCCUGCCUGGUCGCCAUGAAGACCCAUCAUCACCUGUAUUUUCUAGUACAUAUGGUUCAAUUCCUUUCGUUGAUGAUGUUCCUCCAUCAAAACCUCCAGGAAGUUUCUCUUGUUUUCUUCUUGACGAUGCACUAUACAGGACAUAGAUUCUAUAGGUUGCAUUUGGUUAGUUGUGGAAAUACAUCACCUCCACUCUUAUUUUCCAUCAUUUAGUACUACCACAACUACACGAGGCUAAAUAUGUAAAAUUUUGAACAAAAUAAAAUUUUAUGUGCAAAAUCUCCACAAGGAACUCAACAAUAAUAUUGUAUGUUUCAAAUGGGUAUGGAUGUGUUUAGCAUGGCUUUCUUUCUUAUGCUUCUCCCCGAGCGCAAGGUAGAUCCAUCUUACAGAAAAUGUCGUUUGUGCUUGGCUACCACAUCAAGAAAAUCAUGCUUGGUUUUGUGCCCAAAGGUUGGAUUGCCAAGGUUUAGGCAAAACAAAAGAUAGACUACCAGCUUGUUGUACCAAUAUAUUUUGCCAAUUUGUAGAAACUUACUAAUAUUUGGCAAGUUUUGGAGUUGUCGAAUGUUGGGGAGGAUUUUUGGCUCCCAAUCUAGCAAUGCUUUGCAUGGAGACUGUGCGGAGGUUUCCCCCACCAUCGCAUGUGGCACAUGCCAUCAUGUCUAGCAAGCCUACUCUAUUUCUCAUGCGCGUCUGACAUAGGCCCUGAAAAUUGAAAAAUCAUAAGAUAUCUUGUAUUGGCGGAAAGUAAUAUGGGAUGAAACAAAUAUGAAAUACAUAAUUUGAGCCCAAUACGAUAGGAUUGAGCUAAAGACUACACCACAGAUUCCACAUCUUAACAUCGCAAAGUUUCAAUCCAUGUGAUCCUUAUAAUUUUGUCUCACUGGAUGGAUGGCUAGAUGUUUUUAAUCUGAUUAACAUGAUGUCUCCUGGGAAGUUGCUUGACGUAGAAUUUCUAAGGAAUAUAUAAUUGGUAUUAGUAUAGACUUGCCAAAAAAAGUAAUGUCACUAACCUGUUUGUUCCAAGUGGCUUUUGUGCUCCUCGAACUAUGUUUCCCUGAGGUAUGUAUGUGUUAUAUGUGAGCUAAUAACAAAUUUUGGGCACGACUAUAGCCACACAUUUUGGGCCAAUAACAAAUUUGCAAGAAGUCAUGUCUAACAUGGAAGAUAGGGUGAUGGCCAAUGCCGCAAUCACCAUAAAAGACUUAAGUCUGCCAUAUGCGAGUGCUACCCUAAAAAAUGCCUAAUCUAGAUGAUGGAUCAUCUUUGUAGUCUCUGAGGACUGCAACCUAUGAAAUUUCUGGAAGACACUAUUGUCCAUAAAUGAUUACCAUUAUGGAGGGAGACGGCAUGCUCUAGUGCCAACCCACGUACGGGGCAUAUGACUUCCAUCAAUUUCGUAGGUUGCAAUCCUUUGGUGAUUUCAGACGGUUGUCUAUUUGGGCAUUCUUUUGGAUAGCACACUCAUAUGGCAACC